rnacentral:lncRNA from 1 species
GGUAUGAUUUACGGGAUGUUGGUGUUGUUUAAGAUUUGUGCAAACUAAAGAAUAAAAUUUAUCGGAAGUAAGACAACAAAAUUGAUCCUAGCUUUUGACGAUUAACUCAAGUUAGAGACAUCUCCCAAAACGAAAGGAAAAUUCAAAAAGUAUAAUUAAGGUAAAAUAUAGAGAAUGUAAAAAAGGCCUAAACAUGAAACAGAAAGCAUGGAACAACGGAAAGGGGAAGAGAAGAAGAUGAAGAAGCUUACGUCAGGUAUAUGAAAUUAAAAAGACAUAUAUUAGGACAGCGCAGCACCAACUUAUUUGGGGGUCCAUAUCAAGUUAUCAACUCUGUAUAUAUUCGUUGUUUGAGUAAAUACUCAAAGUUUCAAACUACUUGCAUUACAAAAUUAUU